rnacentral:rRNA from 1 species
UACUAGAGUAGCACUCGCAUAUCAAUAAGCGGAGGAAAAGAAACUAACAAGGAUUCCCCUAGUAACGGCGAGUGAAGCGGGAAGAGCUCAAAUUUGAAAUCUUAAAGGGUUUCCCUUUACGAAUUGUAGUUUAAAGAAGUGUUUUCUGUUGAGGUUUUGGUAAAAGUUCUUUGGAAUAGGACAUCAUAGAGGGUGAGAAUCCCGUAUUUGACCUUUACUUUCAACUUUGUGAUACACUUUCAAAGAGUCGGAUUGUUUGGGAAUGCAGUCCAAAAUGGGUGGUAAAUUUCAUCUAAAGCUAAAUAUUGGCGAGAGACCGAUAGCGAACAAGUACCGUGAGGGAAAGAUGAAAAGAACUUUGAAAAGAGAGCUAAACAGUACGUGAAAUUGUCAAAAGGGAAGCGUUUGACACCAGUGUUGUUUUUCUGAAAAUCAAUUAAAGAACUGUUUAUGCUAAGCUGUUUAGACUUUAUCAGCUAUCUGUUUAGUUUUGAGCUUUUCUUUAAUGCACUUUUCAGUUAACAAGUCAACAUCAAUUUCUUUUGCUGUAAAAAAGCUUGAGGAAGGUGGCUUGAGAUUCGUCUUAAGUGUUUAUAACCUCUUGCCUAUGCAGUCGGAGAGAUUGAGGUCUGCAGCGUAGAUCCUUCGGGGCUAAAUGCAUUUGUGCUAAGUUAUAGCAUUUUAUAGACAACUUGUUGACUAUGAUUUGUCUUGUAGCUUACUCGCUUAUGUUAUUUUACCUACGCUUAGGAUGUUGAGUAGCGACAUACGCAC